GACGUAGGGCGCGAGCGUUGUCCGGAUUUAUUGGGCGUAAAGAGCUCGUAGGCGGCUUGUCGCGUCGACUGUGAAAACCCGCGGCUCAACUGCGGGCCUGCAGCCGAUACGGGCAGGCUAGAGUUCGGUAGGGGAGACUGGAAUUCCUGGUGUAGCGGUGAAAUGCGCAGAUAUCAGGAGGAACACCGAUGGCGAAGGCGGCCCUCUGGCUCGACCCUGACGCUGAGGCGCGAAAGCGUGGGGAGCGAACGGG
rnacentral:rRNA from 1 species